rnacentral:tRNA from 1 species
GCUUUCGUGGUGUAGUGGUCAGCACGCUCGACGCGUAACCGAGAGGUCCAUGGUUCGAUUCCAGGCGAAGGCG